CAAUGCUGACGAGUCCCAAACAGGACGAAAUUGCUGUCCAAUGC
rnacentral:hammerhead_ribozyme from 1 species